GGGUAACAUACCCUAUGCUGGGGGAUAAGCUCGGGAAACUGAGAAUAAUACCCCAUAGUCCACUACGCCUGGAACGGUGAGUGGAUGAAAGCUCCGGCGGCAUAGGAUGGGCUUGCGGCGUAUCAGGUUGUAGGGGGUGUAAUGUACCCUCUAGCCAUCCACGCGUACGGGUGUUGGGAGACAUUGCCCGGAGAUGGAUUCUGAGACACGAAUCCAGACCCUACGGGGUGCAGCAGGCGCGAAAACUUGGCAAUGCGAGAAAUCGUGACCAGGGAACUCCAAGUGGCAGGGGUAAGACCCUGUCUUUUUUCGACUCUAAAUAGGUCGACGAAUAAGGGGUGGGUAAGGACGGUGCCAGCCGCCGCGGUAAUACCGGCGCCUCAAGUGGUAGUCGCUUUUAUUGGGCCUAAAACGUCCGUAGCCGGUUUGGUACAUUCGUGGGUAAAUCAACUCGCUCAACGAGUUGAAUUCUGCGAGGACGGCCAGACUUGGGACCGGGAGAGGUGUGGGGUACUCUCAGGGUAGGGGUAAAAUCCUGUCAUCCUGAGAGGACCACCUGUUGCGAAGGCUCCACACUAGAACGGAUCCGACGGUCAGGGACGAAGCCUAGGGGCACGAACCGGAUUAGAUACCCGGGUAGUCCUAGGUGUAAACGCUGUGGACUUGAUGUUGGGGACGCUCCGAGCGUUCCCAGUGUCGAAGCGAAGGUGAUAAGUCCACUGCCUGGGGAGUACGGUCGCAAGGCUGAAACUU
rnacentral:rRNA from 1 species